AACGAACGCUGGCGGCAUGCCUAACACAUGCAAGUCGAACGAGACCUUCGGGUCUAGUGGCGCACGGGUGCGUAACGCGUGGGAACCUGCCCUUAGGUUCGGAAUCACUCCCCGAAAGGGGUGCUAAUACCGGAUAAUGUCUUCGGACCAAAGAUUUAUCGCCUUUGGAUGGGCCCGCGUUGGAUUAGCUAGUUGGUAGGGUAAAAGCCUACCAAGGCGACGAUCCAUCGCUGGUCUGAGAGGUUGGUCAGCCGCACUGGGACUGGGACACGGCCCAGACGCUUGCGGGGGCCGGAAGGGGGAAUAUUGGACAAUGGGCGAAAGCCUGAUCCAGCAAUGCCGUGUGAGUGAUGAAGGCCGUAGGGUUGUAAAGCUCUUUUACCCGGGAUGAUAAUGACAGUACCGGGAGAAUAAGCUCCGGCUAACUCCGUG
rnacentral:rRNA from 1 species